rnacentral:lncRNA from 1 species
CAAAGAUCAUUCAAAAUCCCUUCAAGAAUUCACCAAAGAUUAAAUAUAAAAAUAGAAUAUGUAGUAAUAUUGUCAAUGGUCAAUCUCCACCAGCAACCAUAUGCCAAAGAAGCUAAAUGUCACAGUACAGCAUUGAACAAUGAGCUGAUCCCAUACCGCAUAACCGCGAAAUUACAAAUGUAAAACAAACCAAACAAAAAGACUAAUUAACGACCACUCAAUUACAGGAUUUUUACUUGGGACAGACGCAUAUAUAUAAUAUGGCCGGGUUCAACUAGUUUGUUGGUGCCUACCCCCCCCUAGCCUUAACCUGUGCUAAUGAUGUAACAGUACUACAUAAAACAAAUGACAAAAAUCGCCUGAAAGGUGUCAUUCAUCGGCUCGAUGCAGAGAAGAAAGACAUAUAAUACAAACACAUACCGGACGUGACAGUGGCAGGGUAUUAAUAUAUCCCCUCAAAAAAGCACACAUAGUACAACCC